rnacentral:rRNA from 1 species
GCGGCGAAAGGGAGAGUAACGAGUAGAUACGUACCCAGGGGUUCGGGAUAGCUGCGGGAAACUGCAGGUAAUACCGGAUAAUGUCUUCGGACCAAAGGUGUGAUUCCGUCAGGGGAGGGGCCUGCAUCCUAUUAGCUUGUUGGUGAGGUAAUGGCUCACCAAGGCAACGAUGGGUAGCGGGUGUGAGAGCAUGACCCGCGUCAUUGGGACUGAGACACUGCCCAGACAUCUACGGAUGGCUGCAGUCGAGAAUCUUCGGCAAUGGGCGAAAGCCUGACCGAGCGACGCCGCGUGCGGGAUGAAGGCCCUCGGGUUGUAAACCGCUGUCGUUGGGGAGGAAAUGCAAAAGGGCUAUCCCUUCUGUUUGACCGAUCCAAGGAGGAAGUACGGGCUAAGUUCGUGCCAGCAGCCGCGGUAAGACGAACCGUACGAACGUUAUUCGGAAUUACUGGGCUUAAAGGGUGCGUAGGCUGCACGGAAAGUUGGGUGUGAAAGCCCUCAGCUCAACUGAGGAAUUGCAUCCGAAACUGCCGUGCUAGAGGGAGACAGAGGUGAGCGGAACUCAAGGUGGAGCGGUGAAAUGCGUUGAUAUCUUGAGGAACACCGGUGGCGAAAGCGGCUCACUGGGUCUCUUCUGACGCUGAGGCACGAAAGCUAAGGUAGCAAACGGGAUUAGAUACCCCGGUAGUCUUAGCUGUAAACGAUGAGCACUUGAUUGGAGGGUCCUCCAUAGCCUUCCAGUCGUAGCGAAGUGUUAAGUGCUCCGCCUGGGGGAGUAUGGUCGCAAGGGCUGAAACUCAAAGAAAUUGACGGGGGCUCACACAAGCCGCUGGAGGAUGUGGCUUAAUUCGAGGCUACGCGAGAACCCUUAUCCUAGUCUUGACUUGUAUGAAUGACCCUGUGAAACCAGUCCACGCCUUCGGGUUGGAACAUACACAGGUGCUGCAUGGCCUGUCAUCAGCUCGAGUCGUG